rnacentral:rRNA from 1 species
GACGUAGGGUCCAAGCGUUGUCCGGAUUUACUGGGCGUAAAGAGCGCGUAGGCGGUCUGUUAAGUGUGAAGUGAAAUCUCCAGGGCUCAACCCGGAAACUGCUUCGCAUACUGGCAGACUUGAGGAAUGCAGAGGUUUGUGGAAUUCCUGGUGUAACGGUGAAAUGUGUUGAUAUCAGGAGGAACACCCAUGGCGAAGGCAGCAAACUGGGCAUUAUCUGACGCUGAGGCGCGAAAGCGUGGGUAGCAAACAGGAUUAGAUACCCUGGUAGUCCACGCCCUAAACGAUGGAUACUAGGCGUAAGAGGUAUCGACCCCUCUUGUGCCGCAGCUAACGCAUUAAGUAUCCCGCCUGGGGAGUACGGCCGCAAGGUUGAA